AAGCAACACAGCAGUUCACAUACUUCAUACAUCAAAUACAGCAAGUUUGUGAUAUUAAUACAUAUAUUUUAUGUUUUCUUUUGUUUAUGACGUUGUUGAGUGAGUCGGAGUGAUGUCACCAUGAAUCUGAAUAAUUAUUUAUCAUGUUCUAUAUGGGUUUCACAACACACAUGACAUAUGUUGACACGAUUUUCUCAUGAUGAAAAUAUUAUUUUCAGCAAAUGAACCGACACAUAUUAAUUAUUUGUUAUGUGAUUUGAUUUAUAAUAACAAUGUUAUGUCUAUUUUAUCCAAAUUCCAGGCUGAACGUUUUGCCAGAAGUCAACCUGUAUUAACUGCGGCACGCCCAACAGCUGAACGUUCAACUAGUAGUCACUGUCACAUCCAAUAGCACAAUAGCAGGAGCCGUUGUCGGGACAGGGAACAAGAAAAAAAGGGGUGGGGGAAGAAAUGUCUUUGCUAAUACAAUUUUAGACAAGACAGUGUCAACAACAACCAGAAUCACUUCAUACAUAUUUGAAGUUACGUUGUUUUGUGAAUUACACUCGUGAAUGUCAAUGGCAAAUUUUAAGACAAAUUCUGUGUUAUGUGUCUUUGUUAUAAUAUUAGACCUUCUUUCUAAAAAUCGUGUUGUAUUUUAGUAUACCACAGCUAACAAGUCAUGAAUGACACUGUCUUCGCUAGCCGUCAUUAAAAAAUGCAACAUAUAAUUUAACCAGUUUGUGGCAUGGACAGUACCUGUGACAACAAAUUUUACUUUCUAAUUCUUUAUAUACAUGUACAGUUCUAGUUUGUGGUCUUAAACUAGUUUCAAUAUUAAUAAAGUAUUAAUAAAGUACAUGGAUCCAGAAAAAA